rnacentral:misc_RNA from 1 species
GGAAGAUGUGCUACCCUCAUUUUAGCUCAUGUGGACACCAAAACUAUUUUAGACAUUUUGAGGCUCCUCUCGGGUUGUUAGGACAUCAAAAACACUAAAAGAAGACAUUAGAGCCACAAAUAUCAUCAAAUAAUAAGUAAGAAGCAAGAUUAAAGGCAAAAUAUAAAUGAUGGACCCUUUUGUGCAUUAAAGAUAAUCUAGGCCUAUAAGAGGCGAGAACUCAAUCACUCUUAACACCCUUUCACCAUCUAUCGAUGAGAGGACAUUAUGUCUCCCAACUCACACACAAAAGCAC